rnacentral:rRNA from 1 species
ACGAACGCUGGCGGCGUGCCUAAUACAUGCAAGUCGAACGGUCUUUCUAUGGAAGCUUGCUUCCACUGAGAAGAUAGUGGCGAACGGGUGAGUAACACGUGGGUAACCUGCCCAUAAGAGGGGGAUAACAUCCGGAAACGGGUGCUAAUACCGCAUAGUUUUCUUGAUCGCAUGAUUGAGAAAGGAAAGACGGCCUUUGUGCUGUCGCUUAUGGAUGGACCCGCGGCGUAUUAGUUAGUUGGUGAGGUAAUGGCUCACCAAGACGAUGAUACGUAGCCGACCUGAGAGGGUGAUCGGCCACAUUGGGACUGAGACACGGCCCAAACUCCUACGGGAGGCAGCAGUAGGGAAUCUUCCGCAAUGGACGAAAGUCUGACGGAGCAACGCCGCGUGGGUGAAGAAGGUUUUCGGAAUCGUAAAACUCUGUUGUCAGAGAAGAACAAGUUGGAGAGUAACUGCUCCAGCCUUGACGGUAUCUGACCAGAAAGCCACGGCUAACUACGUGCCAGCAGCAGC